rnacentral:rRNA from 1 species
ACACCUCCCUCUUUCCCCCCACACACACCUGUGAACUUGUGAGACAGUUGGGGAAUUUAUUUGUUAUUUUUUGUAAUAAAAUGAUAAUAAAUCAUUGAACCCUUCUGUCUACUCAACUCAUAUAAAAUCAAUUUAUUUUAAAUGAAUGUAAUGGAUGUAACACAUCUCAUACUAAGUUUCAACAACGGAUCUCUUGGCUCUCGCAUCGAUGAAGAACGCAGCGAAAUGCGAUAAGUAAUGUGAAUUGCAGAAUUC